UUGUGAGCGUGCCAAGGCGGGUGAAUGGGGAGGCCUCUGAGCGCCGCGCCAUUGUGGGGCCGGGCCUGGCUGAAAGGCGGCUCCGGGCCGGGAAGGUGCGGAAAGAAUGGCUUUUUAUUGGAGUCCCGAACAAAAGGAAAAAAGGGUCCUGAAGAGAAACCCGGGCCUACUGUUGGCUGCUUAAGGACCGGACCGUCGGAGCGGUUGGUCUGUGACCCUCUCUGUAGCUGAUGCGGCUGGGAGCGGGAGCUUUGGUGAAGAGCCACCUGCAGAGGCGGCAAGGCUGGAGGCCCCAGUCUGCCUAUUUCUCCUUGGCUUCAGCGUUCAGAGACCCACAGGGGACUUCCUGGCCGCCUGCUCCCAACUCUAGGGCCUUGGAAGGACACAGUGUGAGUGGACACCGUUCAUGCCCCGCCUCUGCCCGGCUCUGUGCGGGAGAGGCUGGAUCCGAUGCCGGGACCGGCACUGGCAGCUAAAACCGACUGAGUGGAGAGUACACCAGCAAGCCCGAGCCCCGAGGACCUGACCAAGGCAGCGCCAGCCCCGGACUGGAAGGGCCAGCAUUCCUGACCGCUACCACCUGGGCGAGGAGCCAGGCCAGCACCGUGCAGAGUGAGGUCCAAUCAGAGGCAAGCAGACAUCCUGACAUACCUCCAGCUACAUCCAAUCAGGGGCAAGUGUAUAUUCUGACCUCGUCCCCGACUGUGAACCUCCCACCCACGUGUGAUCAAGCUCAUCCAGUGCAGAUGGGUCAAACAAGCUUGUUCCGGGAGGAACAAGUGGCUGGUUACCGACAGUAAACUAUAGUCUCCAGCAUUUCAAGAACUUUCUGUCCUUGGGCGAUCGGAGGCAUUUUGUUUCAUGGAUCUCUAAGGCA